GACGAACGCUGGCGGCGUGCCUAAUACAUGCAAGUUGAGCGCUGAAGGUUGGUACUUGUACCAACUGGAUGAGCAGCGAACGGGUGAGUAACGCGUGGGGAAUCUGCCUUUGAGCGGGGGACAACAUUUGGAAACGAAUGCUAAUACCGCAUAAAAACUUUAAACACAAGUUUUAAGUUUGAAAGAUGCAAUUGCAUCACUCAAAGAUGAUCCCGCGUUGUAUUAGCUAGUUGGUGAGGUAAAGGCUCACCAAGGCGAUGAUACAUAGCCGACCUGGGAGGGUGAUCGGCCACAUUGGGACUGAGACACUGCCCAAACUCCUACGGGAGGCAGCAGUAGGGAAUCUUCGGUAAUGGACGAAAGUCUGACCGAGCAACGCCGCGUGAGUGAAGAAGGUUUUCGGAUCGUAAAACUCUGUUGGUAGAGAAGAACGUUGGUGAGAGUGGAAAGCUCAUCAAGUGACGGUAACUACCCAGAAAGGGACGGCUAACUACGUG
rnacentral:rRNA from 1 species